AAAAAUCUUUUCCCUAAUGUUGUCCAAAUGGUAUGGAGUUGCUAUUUCUUGAUUCACUAGAAUGUUGUGCUCGAAGAAAUGUAAUUUUUUGGUUCUAAACUAAGGCUGUAUCAGGUUCCGGUUCUGGGUCUAUUUGGGUCUGGCGUUCCGGUUCUGGAGGUUCCGGUUCUGGCGGUUCUGAAGGUGGAACCGGCCCAUGACGGUUCCAGGUACCAUGCGGU
rnacentral:lncRNA from 1 species